rnacentral:misc_RNA from 1 species
UCGAGCGUCAUUACAACCCUCACGCCACCGCGUGGUAUUGGGCUCGCCCCACCGGCCUGCCUCAAAGUCAGUGGCAAGCUUCACACAGCCCCAAAGCGUAGUAACAAUUCGCCGCUUUCUGGUGCUGCGUGACAGCCUGUCAGCAACCCCCACACUCAAAGGUUGACCUCGAAUCAGGUAGGGAUACCCGCUGAACUUAA